UACGAAGGGGGCUAGCGUUGCUCGGAAUCACUGGGCGUAAAGCGCACGUAGGCGGGUCGUUAAGUCAGGGGUGAAAUCCUGGAGCUCAACUCCAGAACUGCCCUUGAUACUGGCGGUCUCGAGUUCGGGAGAGGUGAGUGGAACUGCGAGUGUAGAGGUGAAAGGCGUAGAUAUUCGGAAGAACACCAGUGGCGAAGGCGGCUCACUGGCCCGAUACUGACGCUGAGGUGCGAAAGCGUGGGGAGCAAACAGG
rnacentral:rRNA from 1 species